CUAUAGCUCAAUUGGUAGAGCAACGGCCUUUUAAGCCGCAGGUUCCAGGUUCGAGUCCUGGU
rnacentral:tRNA from 1 species